rnacentral:rRNA from 1 species
CUACGGGAGGCAGCAGUGGGGAAUAUUGCACAAUGGGCGAAAGCCUGAUGCAGCGACGCCGCGUGCGGGAUGACGGCCUUCGGGUUGUAAACCUCUUUCAGCUCUGACGAAGCGAAAGUGACGGUAGGAGCAGAAGAAGCACCGGCUGACUACGUGCCAGCAGCCGCGGUAAUACGUAGGGUGCGAGCAUUGUCCGGAUUUAUUGGGCGUAAAGAGCUCGUAGGCGGUCUGCCGCGUCGGAUGUGAAAACUCGGGGCUCAACCCCGAGCCUGCAUUCGAUACGGGCAGACUAGAGUGUUGCAGGGGAGACUGGAAUUCCUGGUGUAGCGGUGAAAUGCGCAGAUAUCAGGAGGAACACCGGUGGCGAAGGCGGGUCUCUGGGCAACUACUGACGCUGAGGAGCGAAAGCGUGGGGAGCAAACAGGAUUAGAAACCCUUGUAGUCC